rnacentral:rRNA from 1 species
GGGAAUCUUCCGCAAUGGGCGAAAGCUUGACGGAGCAACGCCGCGUGAGUGAUGAAGGCCUUCGGGUCGUAAAGCUCUGUCCUAAGGGAAGAACACCUCAGUAGAUAACAUCUGCUGGGAUUGACGGUACCUUUGGAGGAAGCCUCGGCUAAUUACGUGCCAGCAGCCGCGGUAAUACGUAAGAGGCAAGCGUUGUCCGGAAUCACUGGGCGUGAAGGGUGCGCAGGCGGUCUAGUAAGUCAAGAGUGAAAUCCAUCGGCUCAACCGGUGAACUGCUUUUGAAACUACUAGACUUGAGAAUAGGAGAAGAGAGUGGAAUUCCUGGUGUAGUGGUGAAAUACGUAGAUAUCAGGAAGAAUACCAAUGGCGAAAGCAGCUCUCUAGCCUAAUUCUGACGCUGAGGUACGAAAGCUAGGGUAUCAAAAGGGAUUAGAUACCCCUGUAGUC